GGUUGAUUCAGUGAUCUGACUAGCACAGGCAGCUACCCCCUUCCUUACCAGCCCACAUGUGUCCCUCCUAAAGCUAUGUGCUGGGUAAAAGAAGAUGACCUUUCCCUGAGACAGGGAGGACUAUUCUUCAGUCAAGGGUCUAGUUGUGCUCUGUUCAGGCUCCAAUCUUUCUAAUAUACACAGACAUGUCAGUAUUU
rnacentral:snRNA from 1 species